UAUUAACUAAUAGUUAGUAUAGUAUCGACUAUGUCGACUAAAAUUCUGGGUAGAGUAUUGAUAAUGACAUUAUCUGCUCAUAAGUCUUGACCAAAUCACGUGCCAGCAGUCGCGGCAAUACGUGGAAGACUAGUGUUAUUCAUCUUUAAUAGGUUUAAAGGGUACCUAGACGGUAGAUCUAGCCCCAAAGGGUACGGAUAUACUAGAGUUUGAUGAGAGGGGGGGAGUACUAGCGGAGUAGAGAUGAAAUUUUUUGAUACCGAUACAUGAGACAGGUAUAGGCGAAAGCAACCCCUUAUGUAAAAACUGACGUUGAAGGACGAAGGCUCAGGUUACCAACAGGAUUAGAUACCCUAGCAGUCUGGGCAGACAAUGAUGAAUGUCAUAGAUUAGAUUAUAUUUAUUCUAUAAAUGAAAGUGUAAGCAUUCCACCUCAAGAGUAAUUUGGCAACAUUGAAACUGAAAUCAUUAGACCGUUUCUGAAACCAGUAGUGAAGUAUGUUGUUUAAUCGGACGUUACACGUAAAACCUUGCCACAAUUUGAAUAUUUUUAUUUUAAUAAUUAUACAAGUGUUGCAUGGCUGUCUUCAGUUAAUGUCGUGAGAUUUUGGUUAGUUCCAUUAAAUUAACGUAAACCCUUACUUUAUUUAUUUAUAAAGUAGUUC
rnacentral:rRNA from 1 species